rfam:Vibrio sp. CECT 9027 strain CECT 9027T genome assembly, contig: 0006
CGUGUGGUGUCCAACUUAGAUUUGGAUAGCGACACGGCCUAAUAUUGAGGU